rnacentral:rRNA from 1 species
UGAACGCUGGCGGCGUGCCUAACACAUGCAAGUCGAACGGGGUUACUGGCAGCGGAGAUUCGGUCAAAGCAGCCUUAGCCUAGUGGCGGACGGGUGAGUAACGCGUGGGGAACCUGCCCUGUACUGGGGGAUAACAGUGAGAAAUCACUGCUAAUACCGCAUAAGCGCACAGCAUCGCAUGAUGCGGUGUGAAAAACUGAGGUGGUACAGGAUGGCUCCGCGUUGGAUUAGCCAGUUGGCGGGGUAACGGCCCACCAAAGCGACGAUCCAUAGCCGGCCUGAGAGGGUGAACGGCCACAUUGGGACUGAGACACGGCCCAGACUCCUACGGGAGGCAGCAGUGGGGAAUAUUGCACAAUGGGGGAAACCCUGAUGCAGCGAACCGCCGCGUGAAGGAAGAAGUAUCUCGGUAUGUAAACUUCUAUCAGCAGGGAAGAUGAUGACGGUACCUGACUAAGAAGCCCCGGCUAACUACGUGCCAGCAGCUGC